ACCUGCAGUUAUGGAACAUUUUCUCACAAGUAUAAUUAAUUGGCUGAUCCCUCUUGAUGACCUGGAUUAAAUUAUGUGAUCCAUCCUUACGCUUCAAACACACCGACUGCGUUAUUUGCAUCACUGCUGCAUAACAUUUUGCGCAGCUAGGCAACUAUACUGAUGCAGGUACCUUUUGCAAAUGGUCGCAUGCGGUUGGACACAUGGAGGAGAGAAUCAUUUUCGCAGUAUCCUCAAAACCGUGUCUUUUUGACACAACUGCCGACAGCUACAGGGACAUAAACAAAAAAAAAUGCUGCUUGGAGACAAUUGUCCACGAUAGUAGGAUUGUUAGUUUAGUAGUGAGCUUGUGCUAGAUGUGGCUAGUUAGCGUUAGCUAGCUAACCUAGCCAAUGAGGUGUGUGUGAAAGAAAUAGUCAAAUAAAUUAUGCUAGUUACUACCCCUGAUAACUUUACCAAAUAAUAAUGUUUGAAAGAGUGAGAGUGUGUAUGCUAUAUAAAUAGUAAUCGAAAUGGUAGAUACUACUGUAACCCUGAUAAUGUGGUCAGAUAACCGUGUGUGUGUCUAUGUGUACAGUAGGUGACAUGUCCAUGAUAGCUAUCUAAUAACUAUAGUUAUGCUAGGUAAUGGUUUGGCUUAUCAUGUUCAUGUCUAUGUAGAAGAAGACUGUAGGAGGAAGUGGAGAGGACUCAGGGACAGGUAUCAGAGAGAGAGAAGGGCAGAGAAAGAGAAGAAGAGGUCUGGGUCAGCAGCUUCAGGUGUUGUUGCCACCGGUGCAUCAAGACCCUCAACGUCACCUACAAAUGCGACCAUCACCUCCACCGGUGGAGUGAGACCCUCUACAACAUCAUCCACGAGUAUGACCACUACCGGUGCAGCCAUGGAAGAUGAUGAAAUGGAGGAAGCACCUCUGGAUCUAGGACCACCUGAGAUUAUUAUGAACCUCACGGAAGUGACCACUGAGGACCUCGUUGAGCAGGAUGUGGCCGUGGAGAGAAACAGAGAGAGAAUCGGAAGAGGAACAAUGUCACACCAGGUGUCAUCAGAGGUACCAGCCCCCAGAUCCACUCAACUCAUUUCAGCAAAGGCUCCUCAAAGCCGUCGAGAGGGAUGCAGUCCAACCUGAUGCUCACAGGAAGGAGGAUGAAGAGACCCUCUUUGCCAUGAGCUUGGUGCCAACCCUGAGGAGGCUGCCUCAGCAAAGAGAAGCAAAUGUAUCAGCUGCUUUUCGAAGCCGAAUUCAAUGAAAUGGAGUCAAUUUAGCCGACCAGCUCACAGGAAGGACAGGAAGAGGAGAGGAGUUGUCUGGUUGUUGUUUUGACCUCCCUCAUUGUACCUUUCUUUUCACACACGUCAGUUCCAUUUAAAUUCAGUCAAUUCAUAAAGUCAUUUGU